AGAUUUCUUACUGGCUUGGAGCCGGUGGUCCAGAUCAGAGAGACCUCUUGGAGGGUGUCGGGGUUUUCCUUUCUUUUUCAUUUGAAUUUUAUCCGCCUUUUAUUUUCUGUCAUCCUUGAUGUGCUUCUGGCUUCUGGCUUCCCUUUCCUUCUCUCUCAUUUGUUCCAUGUCUGCCCCUCUUUUCUCCCUCUUCCCAUUUCCCUCUUUCUGCGUUACUAGUUGCAUAUCUUCCCCACAUACACAGGAAAGUUGAUUCUCAUUUGAUCAUGUUCAUAAGCAUGAUCAAUAAAGUAUUUUUUUAAUUAAGGUGUUGCCAACUUUAAGAAAAUUCAGAGAAUAAUAUUAAGUAUAGAGUUUAUUUGGGCUCAGUGCUUGAGAAUGGCCACUCAGGAGCUUAGAUUCAAGUUGCCUUGAAUAUACACUCCAAUUAGCAGCAGUCGGAGUAGGUUUUUUUUUUUUUUUUUUUUUUUUUUUGAGACGGAGUCUUGCUCUGUCGCCCAGGCCGGACUGCGGACCGCAGUGGCGCAAUCUCGGCUCACUGAAAGCUCCGCUUCCCGGGUUCACGCCAUUCUCCUGCCUCAGCCUCCCGAGUAGCUGGGACUACAGGCGCCCGCCACCGCGCCCGGCUAAUUUUUUGUAUUUUUAGUAGAGACGGGGUUUCACCUUGUUAGCCAGGAUGGUCUCGAUCUCCUGACCUCAUGAUCCACCCGCCUCGGCCUCCCAAAGUGCUGGGAUUACAGGCGUGAGCCGGUUUUUAAGGAAAGGAGAGGAGGCAGAGCUUAACUUGUUUACCAAGAAUUUAUAUUUAAAAAACUUAAGCUAUUGACUGGCUAUGCUUUCUUCCUUGUAUCACAAAUUCCAGGAACAUAAAGAUAAUGGGUGAGGCAGCUAAUAAAGAACAAAAUGCCUUUAACAAUUGCCCUAAGGCAUGGGAAGGCGUGGCGGAAGCCAGUAUUCACUUCUGUCCGGGUCUAAUAAAUUUUGCAUACCUCACAUAGCUCAGACAGCUCUGGGCUAUUUUUCUUUUCUUAGUAUGUACUUUUUUUAGACAUAAUACUGUUGUACACAAUAAUCUACAGUACAGUGUAAAUAUAAAUUUUAUAUGCACUGGGAAACCAAAAAAAUUCUGUGAACUGCCUUAUUGUGAUGUUUGCUUUAUUGUGGUAGUAUGGAACUGAACCCCCAAUAUCUUCAAAGUAUGCUUGGAUUUAAAAAAGAGGUUUACUUAGCUCAUGGUUCUGCACAUUGGAAAGCUCAAGGGGCAUAGUGUGAGCAUCUGCUCAGUUCUGGUUAGAGUUUUUUGUGCAGUGUCACAACAUGGUAGAAGGUCAAAGGGGAAGCUGAUACAUGUGAAAACAGACCAAACAGGAGGUGGAAAACAACCCACUCUCUCAGGGACUCUCUCUUUUCCAAUCUCUCAAGAGCUGUUAUCAAACCAAACUGGAGUCCAAUUGCCUGUGCAGCAAGACCAAACACUGACAUCAGGAUUAUAGUGAAAGAAAGUGAGGCAUUUAUUGUAGGGUCCCAAGCAAGGAGAACUGGUCAGUUAGUGCUUAAGUCUUGAACUCCCUAAUUGUUUAUAGGUAAGGGUUUUUAAAUGCAGGGGUGUCAGAGGUUAUAGGCAAAGUCAUAAAUCAAUAUAUGGAGGUUAUAUAUUGGCUUAACCUAAAAAUGCAGUGAGGUAGGAUGCAGGAAUUGGACACCAGACCAAAUUGAGGACUAGCUAAAACAGGGGCAGGGAGGAAGCAGCUUUCCAUAUUAAUGCCCCUUUCCAUGGCAACAACCUGACAACCCAGAGGUUACCACCCUUUUCCUAGAAAUUUCUGCAUAAUUCACCCCUUAAUUUGCCUGUAAUUAAAAAUGAUUAUAAAUAUGACAGAAGAACUGCCUUUCAGAUGCUACUCUGGACACACUGCCUAUGGGGUAGCCCUGCUCUGCAAGGAGCAGUAUCUCUGCUGCUUCUGGACACUACUACUUCAGUAAAAGUUGCUAUUUAACACCACCGGCUCACCCUUGAAUUCUUUCUUGGCGAAGCUAAGAACUCUACUGGGCAAAUCCCCAAUUUGGGGCUUGCCUGCCGUGCAUUGGCGGGGCAUCUCAAAGAGGGGGGCCCACAGGUCAUAGGUGGAAUUUAAGGAUUUUCUGAUUUGUGAUUUGUUAAGAAGGUGAAACUCUCUAAAAAUUUGAUAUCAGCAGAAAAGGAUAUUAGCUUGGGCUCAUGGGCAUGGCCUCCUUUAAGCACCU
rnacentral:lncRNA from 1 species